rnacentral:lncRNA from 1 species
CUGGUGGGCAUUCAGGUGGCACCAGGUUUUCUGUGCUUCCAGCACCCCACUCGCCCCUGGAGACAGGCACACAGUGGCUACUCAGAGGCCACCAGCCUGCCCCGCUCUGUGGCCUAUGCCUCUCUCUCCAAUGAUUCCCGCAACUACACCAUGCAGGAGUUUGCCCUGCACUACUUCCGGAAGCCAUCCACCUUGCUGGACCAGAGAGGUGGCAGUGCCCAGGGGAAGGUCACAGCCAGCCUGGUGCAGUACACCAAGUCUCCCAUCCAGGAAUCUCUCAUCAGACUCAGUGACGAGGACCUGAGCAGGCAGGCUGCAGCGGGCUUCCAGGGUGAGUGGUGUGGGCAUCCUGGGUCCCCAUGUCACCAGUGCCUUGGUCCUAUGCACCAGGUCC